UUGACCUCAAAUCGGGUGAGACUACCCGCUGAACUUAAGCAUAUCAAUAAGCGGAGGAAAAGAAACUAACAAGGAUUCCCCUAGUAACUGCGAGUGAAGCGGGAAAAGCUCAAAUUUAAAAUCUGGUGGCUUCGGCCAUCCGAGUUGUAAUUUAGAGAAGCGUCUUCCGCGCUGGACCGUGCACAAGUCUCCUGGAAUGGAGCGUCAUAGAGGGUGAGAAUCCCGUCUUUGGCACGGACGCACCAGGGCUUCUGCGAUGCGCUCUCGAAGAGUCGAGUUGUUUGGGAAUGCAGCUCAAAAUGGGUGGUGAACUCCAUCUAAAGCUAAAUAUUGGCGAGAGACCGAUAGCGAACAAGUACCGUGAGGGAAAGAUGAAAAGCACUUUGGAAAGAGAGUGAAACAGUACGUGAAAUUGUUGAAAGGGAAACGCUUGAAGUCAGUCGCGUCGACCGAGACUCAGCCUUGCCUCGGCUUGGUGUACUUCUCGGCUGCCGGGUCAGCAUCAAUUUUGCCCCUUGGAUAAUGGCGGGGGAAAUGUGACACCUUUGCGGGUGUGUUAUAGUCCUUUGUCGCAUGCAAGGGUUGGGAUUGAGGAACUCAGCACGCGCCUUCGGGCGUCGGGGCUCCGGCCCACGAUACGUGCUUAGGAUGUGGCGUA
rnacentral:rRNA from 1 species